rnacentral:rRNA from 1 species
AGGUGCGAUCAUACCAGCACUAAUGCACCGGAUCCCAUCAGAACUCCGCAGUUAAGCGUGCUUGGGCGAGAGUAGUACUAGGAUGGGUGACCUCCUGGGAAGUCCUCGUGUUGCACCUUUUU